GAGGGCAUAGCUCAGUGGUAGAGCAAGUGCCUAGCAUGCACGAGGUCGUGGGUUCAAUCCCCAGUACUUUCA
rfam:Camelus ferus unplaced genomic scaffold scaffold1456, whole genome shotgun sequence.